rnacentral:rRNA from 1 species
AUUGAACGCUGGCGGAAUGCUUUACACAUGCAAGUCGAACGGCAGCACGGGUGCUUGCACCUGGUGGCGAGUGGCGAACGGGUGAGUAAUGCACCGGAACGUAUCCAAUAAUGGGGGAUAACGCACCGAAAGGUGUGCUAAUACCGCAUACGCCCUGAGGGGGAAAGCGGGGGAUCGUAAGACCUCGCGUUAAUGGAGCGGCCGAUGCCGGAUUAGCUAGUUGGUGAGGUAAAGGCUCACCAAGGCGACGAUCCGUAGCUGGUCUGAGAGGACGACCAGCCACACUGGAACUGAGACACGGUCCAGACUCCUACGGGAGGCAGCAGUGGGGAAUUUUGGACAAUGGGCGAAAGCCUGAUCCAGCAAUGCCGCGUGAGUGAUGAAGGCCCUAGGGUUGUAAAGCUCUUUUACCCGGGAUGAUAAUGACAGUACCGGGAGAAUAAGCCCCCGGCUAAACUCCGUGCCAGCAGCCGCGGUAAU